rnacentral:rRNA from 1 species
UACGUAGGGUCCGAGCGUUGUCCGGAAUUACUGGGCGUAAAGAGCUCGUAGGUGGUUUGUCGCGUUGUUCGUGAAAACUCACAGCUCAACUGUGGGCGUGCGGGCGAUACGGGCAGACUUGAGUACUGCAGGGGAGACUGGAAUUCCUGGUGUAGCGGUGAAAUGCGCAGAUAUCAGGAAGAACACCCGUGGCGAAGGCGGCUCUCUGGGACGGUACUGACGCUGAGACGCGAAAGCGUGGGGAGCGAACAGG